UAGGUCCUUUGUUUGUUUUCCUGCAGGCAGGGCAUUUUUGACAGGGGGGAGGGUCCUGGAAAAAAUUGACCCCCUACCAGCAGCCUGAAGUGGUAUUGCCCAUUUGACCACUACCAGGACUUUACCACCACAUUCUCUUGAUGGGUAGACUAGAUUGCUGGGAAUAUACAUGGGAGCACUCUGGGUAGAAUUCCAGAAAGAAAGGAAGACAGACAGACUCCUACUUGUCCUUACCUGUUUGUACCUAAGCCCUAAAUUUGGGGGAGCAGGGAGCUGUUUCCAAAAAAAGGAAGCUUUUCUGUGGCUUUUCUAGGAGCCACCAGCAGUUCUUUGUAUCGACUAAGUUUUAUUUAGCCAGCUCAGCAGUUGGAGAGGAGCCAGAAGCCGCACAAGGUUGUUUUCACGCUGCUGAGGAGCUGGGAGAGUUCAGCAGAGGCAUCUGAUUGGCCUGGUGGCAAGAACAGGCACUUGGCAAGGCUGACAUCAGAUUCUGGCCGAACACACAACGCAAGCGACGGGUGCCAAGAUCUCCUUGGCUCGGCUUCUGCGAGGAAGGAUUGCACACAGAGCCAAACGUGUUUACUACUUCAGGCCCGUAACAUGAGACACGACCCUGGCGAGGGUUGCGAUUGCAGAGGAGGGAGCGGCCUGGAGACGGGCAUUUUCUGGAGCGAUCCGAGGAAUUUAAGAGAGACGGGGAUCUUGAUCUCUCCAAAGUAUCUGAGAAAGGGCCCUGCUUGUAUGGAGUCCAGCUCCUCGUGUGGUUUUGAGCAGAUGCCAAAUUAUUGUUCCCGAGCAAAGGGCUGGAGCGAGUACCAAGCUCUCUGCAGUAUUUCCCCGGUAUUAUCCUUGCUGCUGCAUGGAACAAUGAAUGACUGACACCUUAAAUCUUAACAGCUUGGUGCAACAGCCUGCAGCUUCAGCUCCAGGCAGCUGGGGAAUAGACACUCUCACUCUUUCUCAGCAUCCCAUCGCUUGUACUUAAACAUCUUUAUUAAUGGCUUGAAGGAGGUGAGUAAACAGCACAUGAUGUUCUCAGCGCCAGGUAAAGGCCAAUAUAUUUUACUUCCAGCUGUCUAUCAGCUACAUAUUACAGAUGCAAGUUGCAGACCAAGGGAAAUCUGUAAAUCACCCAGGAGAGACCGUUUCAGGAGAUGCUCAAACCAGGGGCAGAUUUUGGCAAUAUGGCACCCUGCGCAAGGGUAAAAAUCCCACCCACCCCCAAUUUCACAGUAAUUCCUUUUGGUACAGCUGCUUUUUUAUGGAUCUUCUCUGCAGGUACCCAUAUAAAUAUAGGUAUUGUUGUUUUUACUAAUACUCCCUGGGCUCUGCGCCCUGUGUGGGGACGGGGGGGACGGGGAUGACCCACACUGCCCUAAAUCGGGCCCUGCUGAAACAAGUAAAUUUGCAUGGGCUUGUGUUUUAGCAAGGAAAGGCCUGCCAAACUUGGGGUAUCCUCCUUCAAGCAUAUUUUUCCAAAUAACUUUCAGAUUCCACCCCCAACAACUUCCUUUCCCACAGGUGCUACUUAUCACUGUGUGGACAUUCUCUUUGAAUAUUAUCGCUAACUUUGGGCCAAAGCUGUCCUCUCAAAGGUUUAGCAUGAGCUGCGCCCCAGACAAAUAUGCAGCAGCAUGCGCCAGAAGUUAACAGACUGUGUGGCCCCACAGCCACCUCCGUAUCUCAGUAGAAAGUCCCCAAACAUCACCACCACCCUUCUCUUCAGUGGUUGAGUCCCUGAAGGGUUGAGAGCCUUCUUUAUGGUAUCCCAUACAUUACAAUGUGCUCUCUGUGUUAGGUACAUGCUGGACCUCUGCCAUAGCAGGCCUGUGUUGGUCAAAGCCAAUCCACCCAGCUUCGGGGAAAGGGGGCAGGUUCCAGACCCUUUACAACACUGUCAUCAAAUGCAGUUAUCCCCCAGAAUAGCAAAUUAUUGCUCUUCAUAAUAUUUCUUACCCACCUUUCACCCGGGGUCAGUUACAACAUUAUAGAAAUACAGUAUUAAAGGCAGCUGAAACGCUAGGCAUUCACUUAUACGAAAGUAAACAAGGCUCCACUUUGGGGUUUUGUCUUCCUGCAAGCUUUAGCUAAAAAUGUCAGCUAGCCAGUGCUUAGGCCUGAGUUUUGAUUCUUGGUCUUGCUAGAGUAUGACAGAAUAUCAGGCAACAGCACAGGCUGAAAGUUGCUGCAGCUGAAAAUGUGUUCUUCGUUAGAUAGCCUGACAAAAAUGCUCAGCCUACAGCAGCUUUUCACUCAGAACUAGAAAACUCUCUGGCUUAUGUUGUUUGUACCAGCAGGACACUUAAUCCCUUCUGCUGCUAACAACUGGGUUUUGCCAGUCUUGAAGGGCAGAAGUAUGUGUUCAGCACUAAAAACAAGUAUCAGCUCAGCAUAGUUCAUUGUAAGGGCACUUGGCCCAGGAGUGCGCAUUGGGGCAGUGCUAGCGUUGCAUCUCCUUUUUGAGUUGACGACUCUUUGCUUUGACCCUUGCAUGACAUAAAUGCUGGCAGACAGUUUCCAUGUUAUAAAUCUUUAUUUAUAGAUGUACAAUUGUAUAAUUCUAAAUUAACAAACACAGCCUUUGCAAGUAUCUCUCAGGAUCUAUGCUUUUUUAUUGCACAUCGCUCAUAACAUCCAUGGCUAUCUAUCUACUUAAGAAAUCAAAAGGUUUGUGGACAGGUAGGCACCGGGAUUGCCAAUGCCAUUUUCCGAGACGUCGGCAACUUCAUGCUGAAUGGGGUGACCCUCCAAACACGGUUGGAGCUCAAGGAAUCACUGCAGGUUAGUUAACAGGACUGAGGUUUUAGACAAAGAUGUGGCCCAGGUCUUCCAUCACAAAACAACAUGGGGCAGGGCGGUCUUCUUGGGGCUUUAAGUACACACUGAGCGAAUCCGUCCUUCAGUGUGGGAAACGUAUGGCAGGUAUCAAGACUGAUUGAAAGGCAAACUCAGUGGCUUAUCUUAAAUGAAUAUCCAGUUUGUCGGCUCCAAAGGACCAGGAUGAGUUAAAAGGAUAUUUUACCAGUUACACCUAACCUAUCAUUUGGUACCUGGUAUUCUAUUUUGAGCAAGCGAAUUUCCAGAAGGAAUUCUGAAUGCUCUGUAUAGAAAAUGCCAAUGGAUGAAAGGAAGAGCAAAACAGAGAGGAAUCCAACUGGUGUGGUCAGUGGUAACUCAGCGUAACCAAGUCUUCUCUUAACAGGACACAUUUGCCUUGGUCAAGAGCACCUAUUUAGUUCCACACAAGAGGAAUGAAUGCAGGAUAAUCUUCCUCCUUAGAUGACAAUGGAGGAUCCAGCACAGAGACAGGAGGAGCACACAACUAGAUUCGUCAGAACUGUGAGCAUUAACCUUUACUCAGCUGCAUGUAGUCAUGUUAAAAGCACAGUAUCUGCUUCUAAAAACACAAAACAAAACAAAAAACAGGAUGGGCAUCACUAAGGGAAAUGGGUUACUGUUUUUUAAAAAUCCAAUGGAAAAUAGACUAUACUGUCCGGUCAAGUAAAAGGAAUAGUACCAGUCCCUUCUUUUAACUUGCUCAAGCAAACAGAGACUGUAGCAAAACCUCUUCUGACAAAAAGACCCUGUUCUCUUACAGAAACUGAUAAAGGGCAAAAGCCAGCAAACAAGGCGCUAUGCCUUGGACUUCCCUUCCUUGGGCUACCAAAGCCCCACCAGUAUGAAUGGAGGAUGUGUAUUGGGGGCGACCCACUUUGCUGACAGACACCAGGUUCCUGGAAUGAAAUCAGCAGUCGCUGUUUGCCAAGAAAAGGAGGCAGCUUUGCUUACAACUUUAUACCACUGCAAGAUGGAAAUCAUCGGGGGGUGGGGGGGGGUGGCCAGGAGGAGGUUUCCACGAAGAACGUCCAUGUACCAGAAUGAACACUGAUUAAAAGGCAGAGAACACAGGGACUGCAAAACAUAAAAAUAAGAAGUCCCACGCGAAAAGCACAAGCAACCUCAACGAAGUAAAGGGACGAAUCUCUCUCCUCGCUCUAUGAGCAUCAAGCCCUCUGUUGAAAGGUCACGGAUUUAGACCACAAAUCCAAAACUGGGCCGGAAAUUGUGUGUAGAAAAAACUUCCCUAGCAAUUUUAGUGAUUCUCUUAUACAAAAAAAGGGGGGAACGAUUUCUCCAGUAAAACCAAGCUAUUAAAAAAUACAAAACUUGUGUGUCCAUCAGACAAGGUUGCUUUAUGUAGGAAAGUUUUCACGGGGUCAAACAGAGAGAGAGGGAGAGAGGGGGAAAAGGCUAAAAUUCACACAUCUUGGGUUAUGAAGUUCGGCAAAAUAAUGAAAUAAUUUAAUUCUAUCCCUGCAUAGUUUAGAAGUACAACAUAUUUACAGCUAUAAGUUAAUUCUAAAUAAUUUAUCUUGCUUUUUAAAAUUGAUUUUUUUCUUUUUUCUUUUUUACUCCUACAGAUCUUCCAAUUUCUCCCACUCUCUUCGAAGUGACCAGUGCGAUUUCAAAAGCUCUCUAAUUUUCUCCAGGCUUUAAAAGAAAAACAACUCAACGCUUGCUCUCAGAGACAUAUGACAGUUGAUAGUGAAGGAAGCAGAAAAAAGACAUGGUCUUCCCCCCCUGUUCUAAGAGAUGUCCGAGUCUUAACGCUGGACAGAAACACAGAGAGAGAGAGAGGAGAGAGGGCAGUUGUGCGUUGCUAAUUCUCCAAUUCCAUUUUAAUUUAAGGUCUGAUUCUUUAAAUAGAAAGUCUCCUUGGCUCAGUGCACUUCCCCCAAAGUCUUGAGGCAUCUGAAGAGUCUGAGAAUAAAAGCAGUAACAGUAUUAGAAGGGUAAUGAUAACCCCAGAGAGCAUGUUCCACAGUUUCUCCCACCCCUAUAAACUGGACUAACUGGAAAUACUAAUCUGCACAUUUAAAUAUAUAUAGUCUUGCCAUUUGACAACUUGGUACAUGGGGAAAUUCCCAUAACAGUCAACAAUGAGGCCUUGCCACUUUCUAGGUAGAGGAGGUAUCAAAACAGCAUGAAGCACUAGAAGAAAGGAAAACCAAAACAUGUCCACAGCUUCCGAAACAACAGGUGUAGCCAUGCAGUCCAAGGCUUCCUUCAAAUUUGUGUGGGUUCACCCAAGCAGAUGUCUGCAUGCAUGCCUCAAAAUACAGAAGAGGGUUUGGUGGGGGUGGACAGGUUAGAGAAAAGCCAUUGUGCAUUUUAAUUACCCCAGGAAAACCAGUGUGCCUUCACUACGUUCUGUUAAACAGAGUUGUCUCACUUCCGAAACCCUGACCAAAAAUGAGGCACCGUAUUUUUCGUCCUAUAAGACGCACUUUUCCCCUCCAAAAAUGAAGGGGAAAUGUGUGUGCGUCUUAUGGGGCGAUGCAGGCUCCUUGCCUUCAGCGAUAGCAACCCGAAGCCUCCAAAGCCUGCGCUCUGAGGCUUCGCGUUGCUUCCGCUGAAGCCAGGAGAGUCUGCUCUUUGAGGCUGGCGGUGGGGAAAGCAGCGCUUCC
rnacentral:lncRNA from 1 species